rnacentral:lncRNA from 1 species
GUGAUGGCUGCUGCCUCUGAGGAGAAACUGCUUCCAAGUAAGGCAGAAAUUGUGGUCUGGAAGCCCAGAAAAGAAUGUUUGCAGCAGAAUAUUCCAAAUGUUCCUGAUGGCAAGUCUGAGGAGAGUGAAUCUGCUUCUACCUCUCCCACUGAAGGUGAUGUUAGUGGCUCUACUGAUGAGGGCUGGUACAAUAUAUAUGCUGACCUGGAUGUGUGGGAUAAUGAAGUUUCUAGUAUACCUGAGUCUUCAGGGCAGCAAGAUGCAUCUGAGCAUGAGGUGGAAGACUGGGAUAGAGAACUGGAAGAGUUCUCACGUGGUCCUUAUGAUGCUGACGAUCUCUCCUGUGGAAGCUUUGAGGAAAAUAAUCUUUCCAGCUCGUAUGUAUGGAAGGAGGAUUGGUUUUACAACCCAGGCUGUCACCAUGCGCCUUGCUUUAUUUUUCCACCACGAGUUAGAACAGUUGAGAAGGGCCAGUUUGAUGAUGCUGAUGAAUGA